rnacentral:lncRNA from 1 species
CCCGGGAUUCGAGCCGGCCAGCCGCUGCUCGGGAAGCCGAGAACGCGCCGCGGGCUACCUCGGAGCCGAUCAUGUAGAACUCCCCGUCGUCCUCCAGCUGAAACUUGACGGGCUUCUGCCCGAAGGUCUUGCUCAACGCCAUCAUCAUCAUGGCGGCGGGGGAAACUGGCAGCCGGGGUCGAGCUGGAAAGAAUCCGGUGGGCUGGGGCGGGGCCGAGGCGCGUCGGACCGAAAGGAACGGAGGCCGGGAGGUGAAGGACGGACAGGGCGAGCCGGGCAAACCGGGAAGGCGCUCGCGUCACUACUAGGUUCUUAAGCCGUCUCUGCGAAGAGCAGGCCUCCCUCCGUGCGCAUGCGCGUGGGGGUGC